rnacentral:rRNA from 1 species
GACGAACGCUGGCGGCGUGCUUACACAUGCACAUCGAACGGAAAGGCCCUGCCUUUGUGGGGUGCCCGAGUUGCGAACGGGUGAGUAACACGUUAGUAACCUGCCCUUUACUUUUGGAUAACUUCAGGAAACUUGGGCUAAUACCGGAUAGGAGCUCCUGCUGCAUGGUUGGGGUUGGAAAGUUUCGGCGGUUGGGGAUGGACUCGCGGCUUAUCAGCUUGUUGGUGGGGUAGUGGCUUACCAAGGCUUUGACGGGUAGCCGGCCUGAGAGGGUGACCGGCCACAUUGGGACUGAGAUACGGCCCAGACUCCUACGGGAGGCAGCAGUGGGGAAUAUUGCACAAUGGGCGGAAGCCUGAUGCAGCAACGCCGCGUGCGGGAUGACGGCCUUCGGGUUGUAAACCGCUUUCGCCUGUGACGAAGCGUGAGUGACGGUAAUGGGUAAAGAAGCACCGGCUAACUACGUG